AACACCUGCAAGAGACCAGCAUUUCAAAUCAGUUUCUGCAUGCUGCUCCCAGGAGAGAAAAAAAGCAACAGAGCACUUAAGCAGCUUGUUCCAACCAAAGGAUAGUACAAAUGCUUCAGAUAUAUUUCCAAGGGAAGUUCCCUCUUUUGACAAAUGAACAUUUUGACACAGAUUAUACUUAGGUACCAUCAAACCCACAUAGCAAAGCAAAUGUCCUCUAAAUACUGUUCAAGAUUUCCCACAGGAAGAAAAUUUCACUAAACCCUCUGACAGGUGUGCAUAUUCAAACAUAAAUAACAGAAGGAAAGUA